rnacentral:rRNA from 1 species
UCUUGUGGAUCAGUGGCGAACGGGUGAGUAACACGUGAGCAACCUGCCCCUGACUCUGGGAUAAGCGCUGGAAACGGCGUCUAAUACUGGAUACGAACCGCAGCCGCAUGGCUAGUGGUUGGAAAGAUUUUUCGGUCUGGGAUGGGCUCACGGCCUAUCAGCUUGUUGGUGAGGUAAUGGCUCACCAAGGCGUCGACGGGUAGCCGGCCUGAGAGGGUGACCGGCCACACUGGGACUGAGACACGGCCCAGACUCCUACGGGAGGCAGCAGUGGGGAAUAUUGCACAAUGGGCGAAAGCCUGAUGCAGCAACGCCGCGUGAGGGAUGACGGCCUUCGGGUUGUAAACCUCUUUUAGCAGGGAAGAAGCGAAAGUGACGGUACCUGCAGAAAAAGCGCCGGCUAACUACGUGCCAGCAGCCGCGGUAAUACGUAGGGCGCAAGCGUUAUCCGGAAUUAUUGGGCGUAAAGAGCUCGUAGGCGGUUUGUCGCGUCUGCUGUGAAAUCCCGAGGCUCAACCUCGGGCCUGCAGUGGGUACGGGCAGACUAGAGUGCGGUAGGGGAGAUUGGAAUUCCUGGUGUAGCGGUGGAAUGCGCAGAU